UUUUCGACUCUCUUAGCGCCCCCCUCUCCCUUCUCGCACAAAAACCUUCGAGCAAUGCCCUUCUCUGUCACAGCCGUCCGUCUAGCACCGACUCCUCUUUCACAACCGUCAGCCAUCGUCGCACAGCUUCACCAUUAGCCAUCUCGUCAGUUCGUCCGUGAAGCUUCUGCGUCAAAUCGUCUGUAUCCUGGGCUUCAGAUCUGUACAGAUCUAAAUUGCUACAGUGUCGUCACUGCUCCUCCACCAUAAGCCAUCACCGCCACACUGUUGCUCUAUCGCUAAGCUGCUGUUUGGUACCAUCCCUUCUUCUCUCCAUCUCUUCUGUGACACGCUCUUCGGAUGGAGUAUAUCUAAUUCGAUUCUCGAAUACCUUAUAAAAGGGUAAGCAAAGGGAAGCAAAAAUUCAACAUUGAUCUCACGCCAUACCAUGAAUAGAAAGGAACUUGUAUUACCAUUUUGUUAUGUCAAAAAACAAGCCUCUAAAAGAUCCUUUGGUUCUUUAGUGAUGACUUCAUUUAUGAGCAUGGUUUUAUUACAAAAUGCAAGGUAACUUUUUGUAAUUAAUAUUGCCUGUGAAA